rnacentral:rRNA from 1 species
UACGUAGGGCGCAAGCGUUGUCCGGAAUUAUUGGGCGUAAAGAGCUCGUAGGCGGUUUGUCGCGUCUGCUGUGAAGCCCGGGGCUCAACCCCGGGUCUGCAGUGGGUACGGGCAGACUAGAGUGCAGUAGGGGAGACUGGAAUUCCGUGGUGUAGCGGUGAAAUGCGCAGAUAUCAGGAGGAACACCGAUGGCGAAGGCAGGAUCUCUGGUCUGUUAUCUGACGCUGAGAGCUGAAA